UACGUAGGGUGCGAGCGUUGUCCGGAAUUAUUGGGCGUAAAGAGCUUGUAGGCGGUUUGUCGCGUCUGCUGUGAAAUCUCAAGGCUCAACCUUGAGCUUGCAGUGGGUACGGGCAGACUAGAGUGUGGUAGGGGAGACUGGAAUUCCUGGUGUAGCGGUGAAAUGCGCAGAUAUCAGGAGGAACACCGAUGGCGAAGGCAGGUCUCUGGGCCACUACUGACGCUGAGGCGCGAUAGCGUGGGGAGCAAACGGG
rnacentral:rRNA from 1 species